GAAGGCUUCGGUGGGUUGGCUGCCAGAUGGAGACGCAACUGCUCCGCGGCGGGCGAACCUUCAGAUGCGGCGUAAAGCGGCGCAGGCUCAACAUCCCUUAAGAAAAUGUGAAUGCUGGCCCAUGAGGAUUACUAGAGUGAUCAAAGUAAUGAAGUCAAGAGGAAAAAAUCAAUAGCAUUUAUUCUGAAUCGUCUGACUCAAAUGAUGUGGGCACCCAGUGCCGUGUGAGCUAACCCAAAAGCACUAAAAGGUGCAAAAUCACACCCGGAAGAAAGAAGAGUAGCAACGCCGGCUCUCCACUCUGGGAUGCUGCUUUCGGAGAGACAAAGAUACACGUGUUACUGCUGCUCACAACUAAUGGACCUAAGUUUUAUAGAAGAAUCUCAAGCUUAGACCUGUUACAACUGGAUUUGGAUCCUUGCUCUGGAAGAUGCAAGCUGCCAUCGUGUAAGCUGCCCCACUGAGAGGCCCGUCUGGCAAGGAAGCAAAGAAGGCCUCCAGCCAACAGUCCGUGAAGAACUGAGGCCCUCAGUCUGAUCUCUCAGCACUGAUUCUUAACAACAGCCCUACAAGCAUCUACAUGCUGAAACUCCAGCAGCUGUCAGGGGCCCUGAGGUGGCCUUGGGAAUGGAAGCCCUUUUUACAGCAAGUCAGCAAGACAGGAGCCUGGGCUGGAAAACUUUGUGCUCCCUGAAUAAAAGAAAUAAAUAUGUCUCUUAUU